GUUUGUUGGAUAUGAAGACGACAAUUGCGUCGCCUAGUGGCUACUAUAUAAAUGUCAAAUAUUUGCAAUUGGAGCUGGAGACGUGUUCGAGUUUCACUACUAGAAAAUUCUAUUACUUCAGAGGUGAUCAAAGCAAAGUUCUUUCAGGUGAUUGUUGUGGAUAACUACUUCACUGGCUCGAAGGAUAACUUGAGCCGAUGGAUUGGCCAUCCAAGAUUUGAGCUUAUUCGACACGAUGUGACAGAGCCUUUGUUAGUCGGAUCUACCAUCUUGCUUGUUCUGCUUCACCGAUCUUUUACAAAUACAAUCCACUGAAGGCAAUAAAGACUAACGUAAUGGACACACUGAACAUGUUAGGAGAUCAUACAGGGCCAAUCAACAUUGGCAAUCCAGGUGAAUUCACAAUGCUUGAGCUGGCAGAGACUGUGAAGGAGGUUCUGCAUAUUUUUUACACAUAGUUUAACGCUGAUGCUAUCUCUAUACUGUAGAUGAUAAACCCGAAUGUGAAGAUCACGACCGUUGAGAACACCCCGGAUGAUCCUCGCCAAAGAAAACCCCUUGAAUUUUUUUCGACGUUCUUCGUUACCCAAUGCCCGAAAUCUUGAUAUCAUGAAUCUAAGGUUAUCAAGGCAUUAUUGUUUAUCGAUCAAUGUACUCACUUAAUUGAAUCUAGGUUUUUGGUUUCAAUAAAGGUUGAGUUUUUUUUUCU